GAUGAACGCUGGCGGCGUGCCUAAUACAUGCAAGUCGAGCGAACGGACGAGAAGCUUGCUUCUCUGGUGUUAGCGGCGGACGGGUGAGUAACACGUGGAUAACCUACCUAUAAGACUGGGAUAACUUCGGGAAACCGUAGCUUAUACCGGAUAAUAUCUUGAACCGCAUGGUUCAAAAGUGAAAGACGGUCUUGCUGUCACUUAUAGAUGGUUCGGCGCUGCAUUAGCUAGUUGGUAAGGUAACGGCUUACCAAGGCAACGAUGCAUAGCCGACCUGAGAGGGUGAUCGGCCACACUGGAACGGAGACACGGUCCAGACUCCUACGGGAGGCAGCAGUGGGGAAUGUUCGGCAAUGGGCGAAAGCCUGACGGAGCAAGGCCGCGUGAGUGAUGAAGGUCUUCGGAUCGUAAAGCUCUGUUAUUAGGGAAGAACAGAUGUGGAAGUAACUGUGGACAUCUUGACGGUACCUGAUCAGAAAGCACCGGCUAACUACGUG
rnacentral:rRNA from 1 species